rnacentral:lncRNA from 1 species
AUGAUGGUGUGUGUGUGUGGAAUGUUGUUAUCAGAACCAGCAGAUCCGGAGAAGCAGUUAGUUCUGAGUGGGAGUGAACGUUUUGCUCUAAACUUUAGUGGGAGAACACGCAACUCCACGCAGAAAAGCCGCAGCCGAGUUUCAAACCUGCAACCUUUGUGCCGCGAGGCAACAGUGCUAACCACUGCUCCACCAUGCAGCCCGCAUUAUCCUAGUGAAUGUAUAAUUAAACGGGUAAACUAGUAGUAGCACAUUCAAUGUCAAAGAAAGUAAAGUGUUAUUAUCAGGAGAAGGAGAAUGUUUAAGUCGUUAGCAGCAGUGUGCUAGACGAUGGCCCCCUCCAUGAGGCCUCUAUCAGUCUACAACCUCAAAAAGUGUCUCAAAACCACUAAAUUCAGUCAAUUCAGUCACAAGUUUUUAUGUUACUUCUGAUCCAUUUUUACUUUUGUUUAACCAACCCAACCUGAUUUUUCAUUUCAGUUAUUGGUGUGGAGAAAAUAAUCUAAAUAUGUUGUAAUCGUGUUCUUGCUGUUUCAGUAAAACUGUCUCAUUUGAACGUAUUUUAAUUCAGUUAUUUACUGCCGGUAUAAUUUCUGUCUGCUACGUGUAAACAUGAGGUGAAAAUCUUUACUACGGUUUAAAUUUCCAGAAGGACAAACAGAGAGUGAGAAUAUUAACCGUAACAAAUAUCACCAAUGGGCUUACGUGUACCAAGCCUACUUCACAGGAAGGUAGAGAUGUGUGCAGGUACACGGAGAGAAACCGUGUGUGUGUGUGUGUGUGCGUGCGUGCGUGCGUGCGUGCGUGUGUGUGUGUGUGUGUGUGUGUGUGUGUGGCCGGCGGCUGAAAGAGACGUGUGUGCAUGCAUUAAAAUCGGGGAUUUUCUUGUCAGAGUAGCAGGAUUGGGGAUUAGUUUAGGAUCUGACUGAGAUGUAUGAGGGAGGAGCUGAUGACUUUAGCCACAUAAAGAGAUGACUGGACAAAUGUGUGCACAUACAUCAAUAUCAGUGUAUUAUAGAGAUGCCUAGCAGGGUGAAAAAAUAAAACGCACACACACACACACACACACACACAUGGAGGUUUUAUUUCUUUACGCAUCACCUGCGAGGAGGAAAUUAAUAUCAGCGUAUUGAAACCGUUCCUAUGGAAGAUCUUUAUGCUUCCCUUAACUCCAGAGUCACAAAAUAGAUGCAAGUGACACACACACACCCAUCCUGCUGAGAGACAGGCUCUAAAAUAACCUCUGUUCCAGCCGGCGGCCCGCUGAGACUCCUGCUGUGUUGUUUUAAUGGGGAAAAUUAGCCAAGCAGAAAGGUGGAUCCUGUUUGUUAUGCUCCACUGUGCCCCCAUCCACGCAGUCGGCCGAGGAGCCAUCCUCUGUUGUCCUCUCUCCCCGCGUCUCUGAGCUCUCCUGACACUGUGUAUCUCCAGCAGCUGCUGCUGCCUUCAUACAUCCAUCUCCUCCUGCCUCCACACUCUGCCAGGCCCAGAUACACACACACACACACACACACACACAAAGACAAACUAAUCACAAAAAUGCUUUCAGCUGAGCCCAAAUCAUCUAAACCUAAAUCUUUCUGGUCUGCCGUUUCAACAAGCUGCUUUGCUUUGCACCUGCAAAAAUGACCAACUUGGAAAGCAGAGGGGACAGAUUUCAAACA